UGGGGAAUAUUGCACAAUGGACGGAAGUUUGAUGCAGCGACGCCGCGUGGAGGGUGUAGGCCUUCGGGUUUUGAACUCCUUUUUCUCGCGAAAAAGGCACAGUUUUGGCCGUGUUGAUGGUAGUGGGGGAAGAAGCGCCGGCUAACUACGUGCCAGCAGCCGCGGUAAUACGUAGGGCGCGAGCGUUGUCCGGAUUUAUUGGGCGUAAAGAGCUCGUAGGUGGUUCGUCGCGUCUGUCGUGAAAGCCAGCAGCUUAACUGUUGGUCUGCGGUGGGGACGGGCGGGCUUGAGUGCGGUAGGGGUGACGGGAAUUCCGGGUGUGGCGGUGGGAUGCGCAGAUAUCAGGAGGAGCACCGAUGGCGAAAGCAGGUCACUGGGCCGUUACUGACACUGAGAAGCGAAAGCGUGGGGAGCGAACAGG
rnacentral:rRNA from 1 species